rnacentral:rRNA from 1 species
UAAGCAAGGUGUGAAAUCGUACGGCUCAACCGUAUACACAUACUUUGAACUGACAAGCUAGAGUAUAUGAGAGGUCACUGGAAUUCCUAGUGUAGGAGUGAAAUCCGUAGAUAUUAGGAGGAACACCGAUGGCGUAGGCAGGUGACUGGCAUAUUACUGACGCUAAGGCACGAAAGCGUGGGAGCGAACCGGAUUAGAUACCCGGGUAGUCCACGCCGUAAACGAUGGAUGCUA